GUUUUUUUUAAUUAAUAAUUGGUUUAACUUUUUUUCAAUUUCUAAGCUUGCACAGUUGUACAUAAAACCAUUAUGAGCAAAAUAAAAAUUUAGAUAGUGCACGCCACACAGAAACAGAAAAAAAAGAACAUAUUCUUACGUGAGGUUUUUUAAAGUCAAAUUGCCAGAAGCAAACUUUUUUUACAAAUCUUAAAAAUUUACUUCAUUAAAGUUAUAUUAAUAAAUGUUUUAACAAUUAGAGCUGGAAAAUGAGCAAAAAAAAGUCUGAGCACUAGUCACUAGAGCAUUAGUCAGUUCCGCAGAAAACAAAGUUAAUAAACUUUUUAAGCAGAAGGACUUAGAAUUUAGUUUUAUAACCAGUAAAUGAUGAUUAGUUGAUGAACCUGAUGCGACGCAUUCGAGCUAUUGAAUAAUCCUGCGGACUAAAAUCGUAACACUACUGAGUUUGUAGACUUAGUAUUGAUAAGUUAUAAAACAAAUUUUUUCAAAUAAAUGGAGAAAAGAAAUUGCAGGAUUGAUUUACCGUUCCAAAAAUAGUAAUAAAAGCCGUUUCAUAUAUGUAUAGGUGGACGCAGGAGAUAAAAUAUGCUUAGUCAAUGUUCUGCUAUCAUAGACAAUUAUCAAAACACAACCGAGUGAUUGCUAACUUGAUUUCUCGAACGUAAGUCCAGGAUCGACUGCAAUUAAAUAAUAUCAGAAAAAGGUGUUUUGCAUUAUAACUUUGGAAAAAAGUUUCUUUCUAUCAGGACUUCAUGCAAAAAUUAAAGAAAAAACCCACUUCCUAAUUACAUCUCCACUGCUCACUCAUGACCGUGGAUGAAGAGUAACCCUCAUUGAGUUCCCCACUAGUCACUCGUGGUUAGUGGGACCAUCAAGCUGCUCAUUUCUUGAACAUUGUUGGGUUGAGUGCCGCUAAAUUUUGCCACAUAGGAGUAAUCUUGUUUGGUGUUUUACAGCAACUUUACAAUUUCUUGCUUUUGUCAACUUGACAAUGAAAUGUAUUCAAGUAUUUGUAUUGAGAACUCCAAAAAUUCUGUCAUAAACGCGCUGAUUAGCGUGCGGAAGCUUUGAAAGCUCUAUAUGAGGGCUACGCCCAAUUUAUGAAAGCCCUAAUAACACUAAAUCAAGACGGUACUCAGAUUCCAGAAACCAAUGCAAAAGCGAGUGGAGAAAGAGGAGACCUUAUCGAGCAAUAUAAAAUCAUGAGCAAAAAGGUAAUUUUCAGGUCCCUUAACUUCUACAAAACACGGAAUCUUCAAAGUACAGUUCUCGACCGCUUGGACACACUAAACAACUAAAAAUACAACUUGUCCAAAACUGCGCUGAAAGAAACAAAAUCUUCACCAACCGUGUUGUAAAAUUAUGGAAUUCUUUAACCCAAAUUUAAUGGAACUGUUAAUACAACUGUGAAUGUUAUUUAGAGCACUGUAUUAAAGAGAUUUGGCAAAAUAAGAAAUUCGAGAUUCUUCAUAUUGAUAUUAGAGAUGUCAAAAAAAAAAAAAAAAUUGUCUAAAUAUGCUUAAACUAUCAUACUGCCUGCUUAGGGAUCUAUCAAUAUCUUAACGAUAUUGACACGUUUUUUGCAAAUGAACGCCUCCAUUACCGCAACUUCGUCGAAUAUAUCAAAGAUAGUGAUAAAAAGCAAAAGUUUACUUUUGCUUGACCUACUCUAUGACCUUGAGCUGCUCCAUUGCAAUAAACAUAGCGAUCUAAAAUAUUUUAUUCGACGUUUUCUAAAUCAACCUUUUUAUUAUGAUUAUAAAUAUAUAUUUCGUCA
rnacentral:lncRNA from 1 species